rnacentral:rRNA from 1 species
CCCCACUGCUAUCGAGGUGGGACUAAGCCAUGCUAGUUGAACGACCCGGACUAUGGCGGGAAGUGGCAGACUGCUCAGUAACACGUAGCUAACCUACCCUUGGGACGGGUACAACCCCGGGAAACUGAGGUUAAUACCCGAUAGGUGUGGAAUCCUGGAAUGGUACCACGCCCAAAUGUAGACGCAUCCAUGUUUGCGUACACGCCCGAGGAUGGGGCUGCGGCCGAUCAGGCAGUUGGUGAGGUAACGGCUCACCAAACCUUUGACCGGUACGGGCCAUGAGAGUGGUAGCCCGGAGAUGGGCACUGAGACAAGGGCCCAGGCCCUACGGGGCGCAGCAGGCGCGAAACCUCCACAAUUCACGAAAGUGAGAUGGGGUUACCUCGAGUGCCGCCUGAAGAAGGCGGCUUUUCCAUUGUGUAAUGAGCCGUGGGAAUAAGAGGGGGGCAAGACUGGUGUCAGCCGCCGCGGUAACACCAGCCCCUCGAGUGGUGGGGAUGAUUAUUUGGCCUAAAGCGUCCGUAGCCUGCUCUGUAAAUCUUUCGUUAAAUCCAGCGUCCUAAGCGUUGGGCUGCGAGAGACACUGCAGAGCUAGAGGGUGGGAGAGGUCAGCGGUAUUCCUGGGGUAGGGGCGAAAUCCAUUGAUCCCAGGAGGACCACCAGUGGCGAAGGCUGUUGACUAGAACACGCCUGACGGUGAGGGACGAAAGCUGGGGUAGCGAAUCGGAUUAGAUACCCGAGUAGUCCCAGCCGUAAACGAUGCAGGCUAGGUGUUGGGUUGGCCACGUGCCAGCUCAGUGCCGCAGGGAAGCCAUUAAGCCUGCCGCCUGGGGAGCACGGCCGCAAGGCUGAAACUUAAAGGAAUUGGCGGGGAGCACCACCAGGCGUGAAGCCUGCGGUUUA